UUACAGCCAUAUCAAGUAGAAACAUUGGUGCCGGUAUGAUCACUGAAGUUAAACAACAUUGAGCAUGGUCAGUACUUAGAUGGAUGACCACUUGGGAAUACCAAGUGCUGCAAGC